AGAGUUUGAUCCUGGCUCAGGAUGAACGCUAGCGGCAGGCUUAACACAUGCAAGUCGACGGGGAACAGGGAGCUUGCUCCGCUGACGACCGGCGCACGGGUGCGUAACGCGUACAAUUUACCUUUUACAGGAGAAUAGCCCAGAGAAAUUUGGAUUAAUGCUCCAUGGUAUUGAUUGAUCACCUGAUCGAUUAAUUAAAGUUCCGACGGUAAAAGAUGAGUAUGCGUCCUAUUAGUUAGUUGGUGAGGUAACGGCUCACCAAGACGACGAUAGGUAGGGGUCCUGAGAGGGAGAUCCCCCACACUGGUACUGAGACACGGACCAGACUCCUACGGGAGGCAGCAGUGAGGAAUAUUGGGCAAUGGAGGCAACUCUGACCCAGCCAUGCCGCGUGCAGGAAGACGGCCCUAUGGGUUGUAAACUGCUUUUAUACAGGAAGAAACGUACCCACGUGUGGGUACCUGACGGUACUGUACGAAUAAGCACCGGCUAACUCCGUGCCAGCAGCCGCGGUAAUACGGAGGGUGCAAGCGUUAUCCGGAAUCAUUGGGUUUAAAGGGUCCGUAGGCGGAUUGAUAAGUCAGAGGUGAAAUCCCACAGCUUAACUGUGGAACUGCCUUUGAUACUGUUAGUCUUGAGUUAUAUGGAAGUAGAUAGAAUGUGUAGUGUAGCGGUGAAAUGCAUAGAGAUUACACAGAAUACCGAUUGCGAAGGCAGUCUACUAAGUAUAUAAUGACGCUAAUGGACGAAAGCGUGGGGAGAGAACAGGAUUAGAUACCCUGGUAGUCCACGCCGUAAACGAUGGACACUAGUUGUUGGAUUAUUACAGUAGGCGGCUAAGCGAAAGCAUUAAGUGAACCACCUGGGGAGUACGAUCGUAAGGUUGAAACUCAAAGGAAUUGACGGGGGCCCGCACAAGCGGAGGAACAUGUGGUUUAAUUUGAUGAUACGCGAGGAACCUUACCUGGGCUUAAAUGUAGAUUGCAUAACUUAGAAAUAGGUUUUCCCUUCGGGACUCUUUACAAGGUGCUGCAUGGUUGUCGUCAGCUCGUGCCGUGAGGUGUCGGGUUAAGUCCCAUAACGAGCGCAACCCCUAUCGUUAGUUGCCAGCGGGUCAUGCCGGGGACUCUAGCGAAACUGCCGGUGUAAACCGAGAGGAAGGUGGGGAUGACGUCAAAUCAGCACGGCCCUUAUGUCCAGGGCUACACACGUGUUACAAUGGUCGGUACAAUGGGCAGCUACCUGGCAACAGGAUGCUAAUCUCCAAAGCCGAUCCCAGUUCGGAUCGGAGUCUGCAACUCGACUCCGUGAAGUUGGAUUCGCUAGUAAUCGUAUAUCAGCAAUGAUACGGUGAAUACGUUCCCGGGCCUUGUACACACCGCCCGUCAAACCAUGGAAGCUGGGGGUAUCUGAAGUACGUCACCGCAAGGGGAGCGGCCUAAGGUAAAACUAGUAACUGGGGCUAAGUCGUAACAAGGUAACC
rnacentral:rRNA from 1 species